rnacentral:rRNA from 1 species
AUUGAACGCUGGCGGCGUGCCUAAUACAUGCAAGUCGAACGCAGUGGGGACGGGUGAGUAACACGUGGGUAACCUCCCAUCAGAGGGGAUAACACUUGGAAACAGGUGCUAAACCGAUACUGAUGGAUGGACCCGCGGUGCAUUAGCUAGUUGGUGAGGUAACGGCUCACCAAGGCCACGAUGCAUAGCCGACCUGAGAGGGUGAUCGGCCACACUGGGACGGAGACACGGCCCAGACUCCUACGGGAGGCAGCAGGGGGGAAUCUUCGACAAUGGACGAAAGUCUGACCGAGCCACGCCGCGUGAGUGAAGAAGGUUUUCGGAUCGUAAAGCUCUGUUGUUAGAGAAGCGUUAUCUAAAGAGAAAGCCACGGCUAACUACGUGCCAGCAGCCGCGGUAAUAC